rnacentral:rRNA from 1 species
UGAGACACGGACCAGACUCCUACGGGAGGCAGCAGUGGGGAAUCUUGCACAAUGGGCGAAAGCCUGAUGCAGCCAUGCCGCGUGAAUGAUGAAGGCCUUAGGGUUGUAAAAUUCUUUCGCCAGGGAUGAUAAUGACAGUACCUGGUAAAGAAGCCCCGGCUAACUUCGUGCCAGCAGCCGCGGUAAUACGAAGGGGGCUAGCGUUGUUCGGAAUCACUGGGCGUAAAGCGCACGUAGGCGGACUUUUAAGUCAGAUGUGAAAUCCCGGGGCUCAACCUCGGAACUGCAUUUGAAACUGGAAGUCUAGAGACCAGGAGAGGUUAGCGGAAUACCGAGUGUAGAGGUGAAAUUCGUAGAUAUUCGGUGGAACACCAGUGGCGAAGGCGGCUCACUGGCUCGGUACUGACGCUGAGGUGCGAAAGUGUGGGGAGCAAACAGGAUUAGAUACCCUGGUAGUCCACACCGUAAACGUUGGGCGCUAGGUGUGGGAUCCAUUCCACGGGUUCCGUGCCGCAGCUAACGCAUUAAGCGCCCCGCCUGGGGAGUACGGCCGCAAGGCUAAAACUCAAAGGAAUUGACGGGGGCCC